GGUAUUUUUACCUACCGUGUGUUGAUAUGGUAUUGAUUAAAAACCACUGUAACUAAAAAAUCGCAAUCGUGACAAAUUGUCUUCGACCUUGUGGGCAGUAACCGUGAGAUCUUCCGCUUUAUCAUUGUUUGGGCUGUACUCCUUCGUGGCGUAACCGUGGUAUCAUAUUGAGUAACCCUGCUUACUUUUAAAUCCAGAAGCCAAUCUUAUCUGUCAUCGUAAAGUACUGUGCAUGCACUAUGGUGUUUGAAACCCGUAGAUUAAAACACGCAGCUGUUGCAUGUAUAAGGACGUUGGCCGGGUGCCUUUUUCAUAACUUUUUUUUACAAAUGGCACGUUUACUUUUAUAGUUGUGGCCGUCGCAAGGUUGAGGCGCGUUCGCUCUCAUUUUCCGUCUGACGUAGCCUCGAACUGUGCGCUACCACAACGCGAUGUUUUGUCACUAUCUUGACUAUUAAAUUUUGUACUGGAGGAACAAAGAGAGUGAGCGUGCCAGUAAUAGUCAGUCUCGAACGUAUUGCGCAGGCGUCAGCGUCAGAAUAGUUUUCCCAUUGGUGUGACCAGUGACGAACAGCAAGUGACAAAUACUGAGUCACUUUCCGCUGACUUUUCACACAGUGUUUACAUGGUGUACGACUGUGAGAGUGUUACAACGUUUUAAUUUAAUAUUCCAAGGCGUUACGUGGCUAGAGAAUGGGUCUGUGUUUCUCAUUCGACUGUGGGGAUUGUGACGCCUGCUGCAAUCCUUGCUGCUUGGCGCUGAGCGCGUGCUGCCUGAUCCCGUGCCUGUGCCCCAACGCGUGUGGCCAGCAGCAGCAGCAUCCGCCCCCGGUGCACGUCAUCCAGCAGCCCCCGGUUGUAAUCGAACAGGCCCCACCGCCACCCGGAUACUACCCACCGCCGCCACACGACGGAGGUUACCCCGGUGGCUACCCGCCCCCGCAACCCGGCUACCCGCACCCAGGAUACCACCCACAACCCGGGUACCCGGGAUACCCACAGCAGCCCAUGUAUAGAUGAAAAGUCGCUUGAAUAAUUAAGGAUGGGUUGCAAUAUCUCGUGCCGACCCUGCUGCUGCUGCUGCAUCCCAUGCCUAUGCUGCGACUGUUGCGGCGACCCCCCCAGAGAGGUCCAUGUUCACCACCACACACCGCCAUCGACCAUCGUCGUCCACCAACCUGUACAACCCUCCGCUCCUCCGCCGUAUAGAAGAUAACCUCUGGAACAUGACAGACAUUAUGCAUGCGUUUUUAAAACAAGUACGAAAUGAAGCAAAGAUUAGCACUAGCCCUCGCGGCUCGGCAUCCGCACUUUAGCGUGAAUUAUAUCGAGGGAUUCGACCAAUGACCGGAGGACGUCUAUCUCCGUAGAUAGCAUUUGCUGCUUUACUCGCCUAAACCAAUGGUUGUAGAAUUUGUUCUCGAAUUCAUGUUUGGAUGAUAAACGAUUAUCACGUGCUCAGCGGUGAAGGAAAACCCACGUUCCCGAGAUUUUUUUUUUUUGGCAGUAUGUGACCUAAACUGUAUUGGGCUGGUUUUCCCUUCGCGGGUUGGAAGGUCAGACGGCAGUCACUUCUGUAAAAAACCGGACCUGUCAAAUCUUCAGGUUAGGUAAACGGAACAUGUGAAAAACGGGAUAAGGCUAGGGAGAUGAUGAUGAUGAUUGGCCAAAGUCCUUGAUAUAAUUCGCGGCGCGUGCGGCUCGGUUGCCGUGCAGGCUCCCUACAGGCGUUAUUGUGUCCAUUAAAUCCAUUAAGGCCAUAAGGCCCCUUUAAAGAUGCCUUUUAUAACAAAACCUAAAUAACCUUUUUGUUAACUAUUUUGUCUGGAAACCCGGGGCUUACGAGAUUAUAACUGGAUUUUCAAAGCACUGCAAUUACAGUUUUCAUUUAAAUAAAGUACAUAAAUGCGUCUGCAAUCUGCAUAUCGUUAUGCCAAAUUUAUUUUAGGAGACAUGGGGCUUCCAUACGGCUAGUGGGAACUAUUCGAGAAAUAAUAGUAGGUAGGUAUGUACUCACUAGGAAUAGUCGAGAAUACGUACUGAAGAUUUGCAUUUUCCACCCUUAUUUAACAAUGCCGAUUGACAAUCUUACAUUCAAAACGUAAGUACGGUCACGAGUACUAAGAUGUAACUUUGAAACCAUGUCACAUAAACUUUUUUGACAAAUGAAACUGUAAGUCUCAUUAAAUGUCAAAUAUGAUAGUGCGACAGGGUUCUAAAGUGGGUACAUGAUAUUGCCCAUGACUGUACGUUGAACAACUAAAGAAUGCCUAUAAAGAAAAUAAUAGAACACCUUGGCUUUGCUUCUUCCUUUUUUGUAUUUAUUCAUUCGAACACGAAGCAUUCUGUUUGUCUUUUUCUUAUAAGCCAGCAUGAAAAUACCUAUGUAUGUAUAAAACAAACCAUUCUCUUAUUUGACGUCAUAUUGACAACGUGACGUCAUCGACCAUUGAGACAUAACAAUUGAAUAUAUGUUUGAAUUACGACAGCAGAACCUUGCGUCACGAUAUCAUCAUGACACAGAAAGAAUGCUAAGUUAUUGUACUUAGGUACUAGCUACGGGGAAAAUAGAAUUAAUAACUGAACAUAACUCAUUCAUGAUCGAUUAUGUCCACAAACAUAUUAAGUAUGCUUAGUUAGGUUGGUAUAUCUGAUGUAUGAAGUGUUAAUUGCUUCAUUUUUGAAUGCUUAGAGCUCAAGCGUAUUUUUGGCACAAGAAGCUUAUUAAGAAAAUAAUUUCCAUUAAUGUGUUACCAAAAAUAAUAUGAUCCUGGUUUAACACCUUCAAUAUAAGUAUUAAGUACACUUCUAGGUAUUACCUACCUGCCUAACAUGACAUGGUGAUAAAUUAUCUUUCGAUUCAGCUGGUAUCCAAUCAUUAUAAUGUAAGGAAUAUUUACUAACUCAUAUUUUUUUAAAAAGACUUAAGAAUGAUUGUUGUUUUUUUUUUACAAUAACAAGUACAUUUGUGCCCAUGUCCACAUUUCUAAAUCAGGAAGUCAAUAAGAGUCAGUACAAACAUAGGUAAUAAUAGGUAAUAAUAAAUACUUUCUUUCUUUCUUCUUUCUAAACACAUUUUGUAACAUUUCGAAUUUAUUUUUUAUUAAUUAAGCAUUCCAGAGUCACUAGAUAUUAAGAACUUCUGGCUUAGUUAUAAGUGCUAUUAUUACCUAUAUUCAGUAAUAUCUAUUCGAACAAAAUUCUUCCUACAAUUUCAUGUAAAUAAUAUGCUUCUUAUUGUAAUAAAGAUAUUUAAAUGUUAUCUAAAAUAAAUAUUAAAUAAUUAAAAUUACAAAAAGUAAAUAGUUUUAAGUGUAUAAAACUUAAAAAUGUAUCUAGGAUUUAGUACCUUUAUUAAACUAUAGUUUAUUUGCAUUUUUAAAUAAAAAGAAAUUUAAUUUAUUCACAGAAAAGAGUUUUAUUAGUUGUACACAGGAGAACACAAAAAACAAUUUAACAACAAAAGGCACAUUGAUGGAAAUACUGGGAUAGAUUCUCCCACUCCGGCUAGGUUGUGAGAAGGUGCAGUAGUUUUUUAGGCGGAUUAGUCGUUCGUAAAAAAUGAAGAUUCAAAGUGUAUGUUACCUACUGAAUAAAUACAUAUAUUUUUAAAUUGAAUAUGUCCAUUGCAAAAAACGUGGCGACAAAAUAGCGCUGCAUCCAAGCUGCAUCACCUUUUAUGACGGCACAUAGUAACUAUUCGUUAUGCGUUGAAUUCGUUGAUUGGUAUUGUAGAUUGUUUUAAGUUUACGCGGUUAUUAUCAUAAUUAAAACACAUAAUAACGGGUUCUUACCGCGUUUAAAUGGGGAUAUGAGACUCCCGAUAUUUCGAUACUGUUGCAAGUGCCAUGAUCACGGGAUGACUGAUGAGAUUGGAGUGGAGUAGGUAGAUCCAUAAUUUUCUACAUAUCUGUCUACCCUCUUUCUUUGCCGCUUGUUUAUGUUUUUGAUAUCGGAAUGUUCGGAACCAUCUGAACUGGCACCAAACUCACUACGACAAACCGCACUCACUGUGUUCUCACGUUUUUUCUCCACAUUAGGCCGUUUCAAGCUUUUUACAACACCUACUACUGGAUUCCACAUGGUCGAUAAUUUGAACCCGUCUUCCCUGUUGAAAUUUUUAUGUUUUCUGAUUUCAAUAGCCUCUUUUACGAGUCUCGGGAUGUAAUGACGUUCUGUCGAUAAUAUUUGUGGAUUGUUAAACUCGAUCCAGUGGUUAGGGCCCGACUCCAGUACAUGCUCAGCUAUAGCAGAUUUCUGCACGUCGUUUUUCUUCAUGGCACUAAUAUGUUCUUUAAUCCGGCAAGAAAUAGACCGUUUUGUUUGUCCGAUGUACGAACUACCACAACUACAGUCUAUUUUGUAUACGCCGGGGCUCUCAAACGGAAAACAGUCUUUCGGGGAACGUAGACUCUGUGCGAUUUUCUUUGAAGGGGUAAAUAAGUAUAGUUUUUAUUAAAUAUUUAUUCAAAAUAUUUCCUAUCUUAUCAGUAACUCCCUUCAGAUAUGGAAGAAAUGCUGGCUGACGUUCAACCCUGGGUACGGUCGUCUUGACCUUUGUUUUUGGCCGCAAGGCUCCAACAUCUAUCCUAUAACCAUUAUUGCGAAGAACCUUCUGCAUACCCCGCGAAGAGCUGUAGGUAGAUACUGUGUACUCCUUACAAAGAUAUCAUCAUAAUGAAUAUUAUGCAAUUUUUUUUAGUUAGGGAGGUUUGGUUGCAUAGGCAGAGAUGGGAGUCAUCGGUACGGUAACGCAGGACGGAAGGGGCAAGUCACAGGGCCUGUAAAACCUGAACCUGACAGAGGGCAGCAGGAACUGUCAGUACUUUUCAAGGGCGGAGGAAAGGAGUCCUAGUACGGCUUUGAAAUAGACUACUCUGGGCGCCAUCCCACUCGCGUCAGACAGAAUACUGCAGGGCCCUAUUUUUCCCUAAAAAAGUAGCAUGGAGGAUGCUACACCGAUAAGAGCAUGGCUCUUAAAUUAGUGACGAUGAGGUUUUAGUAAUUUGGAUGUUUCAAAACUGCCCAUAGAAAGUGAAGUUAGAUCACAAAUACGUAUUAAAAUUAUAAUAAGAAAUACGUUUUUAAUAUACGUAGUAGUAGUAUAUACGUAGUUAUUAAAAUAGCAUUUCUUAUUUGUUUGGUUAAUAAACAACAAAAUGGCAAUUCAAUAAUACAAUAAGUACAAAAAAUAAUAAUACCAAAAUGGUCUGAAUUAAUUUGCUAUGAAUAAAAUGCAAACAAGAGUAAGUUAACGACUACAUUCCUAAAUGUUAUGAAUUAAACAAAAAUAAAUUAUCAAUUAUUAUUGUUAUACGUAAAAUUACAGGAAAUUGUUUUUAAUUAACCCAUCAAUCAAUCAAAUUGAUUAGUAAUGAGAGGCUUUAUAGACGUAUGUCAAGUUUGUCUAAUUAAUUAUGUUUAUUAAUCUGUUUUGUAACUGAAAUGUGACCUGCCAGUAGGUGUUCGGCUUUCAAUGAAGUUUCAUUGUAUAACAUCGUUUGUUAAAUCAUAUUUUGAGUUUUACAAGGAGACUGUUGAUUAGGAUGGGUCUUUUACUGUCUUGUAGUCCGUGUUGUGGCCCCCAAGGCGACGCCGGGUGGCGCUGUAGCCCCUGCUGUUCGUGCUGUGGUCCUGUCCCUCCCGUGCCACCUGACGACGACAUUAAGUUCAUACCACCGCACGGGCCUCACCACGGGCCCGCUAAUGGCGCCGCGCGUCACAUUAUUUUAUAGCCUGAACACCGAAUGUCCUUUCUAAAAAUAAAACAGAAAUCCAACUUUCUAAAACUAAAAUCCAAACCCUAUUGUUUAACUAUUGUGUCUAGAAAUCUAGAGCAAGUCAAGUUGGGAAACAUUACGAAAAGUUUAUUUCGAUAGUCAAUUGUUUUCUAUCAAUAAGUACGCUUUAUUCCAUAAGUAAUAUGCUAUUUUAGAUACGAGGAAACAUAUUAUCUAAAAAAUGGAACCUAUUUAAAAAUGGUUUUUUGGACAAAAUAUUAGGUACCUAUGUAAGUGACAAGCUCUGGUUGGCUGAUGAUUA